rnacentral:rRNA from 1 species
UAGGAACCUUGGGCAAUGGGCGAAAGCCUGACCCAGCAACGCCGCGUGGGUGACGAAGGCCUUCGGGUCGUAAAGCCCUUUUGCACGGGAAGAUGAUGACGGUACCGUGCGAAUAAGCCCCGGCUAACUACGUGCCAGCAGCCGCGGUAAUACGUAGGGGGCGAGCGUCGUCCGGAUUUAUUGGGCGUAAAAGGCUUGUAGGUGGCCACGCCAAGUCGGCUGUGAAAUCUCCCGGCUCAACUGGGAGGGGUCAGUCGAUACUGGCGGGCUCGAGGCCGGUAGGGGGAAGCGGAAUUCCCGGUGUAGUGGUGGAAUGCGUAGAUAUCGGGAGGAACACCAGUGGCGAAGGCGGCUUCCUGGGCCGGUUCUGACACUGAGGAGCGAAAGCGUGGGGAGCGAUC